GACGAACGCUGGCGGCGUGCUUAACACAUGCAAGUCGAACGGACAGGCCAUGCUCUUGUGGGGUGCUCGAGUGGCGAACGGGUGAGUAACACGUGAGUAACAUGCACUUGUAUUUGGGAUAACUUCAGGAAACUGGGGCUAAUACCGGAUAUGAGAUCCUGCUGCAUGGUGGGGGUUGGAAAGUUUCGGCGGUUGGGGCUGGAAUAGCGGCUUAUCAGCUUGUUGGUGGGGUAGUGGCUUACCAAGGCUUUGACGGGUAGCCGGCCUGAGAGGGUGACCGGCCACAUUGGUACUGAGGUACGGCCCAGACUCCUACGGGAGGCAGCGGGGGGGAACAUGGCACAAUGGGCGGAAGCCUGAUGCAGCAACGCCGCGUGCGGGAUGACGGCCUUCGGGUUGUAAACCGCUUUCGCCGGAGACGAAGCGUGAGUGACGGUAAUGGGAAAAGAAGCACCGGCUAACUACGUG
rnacentral:rRNA from 1 species